GACGAACGCUGGCGGCGUGCUUAACACAUGCAAGUCGAACGGAAAGGCCCUGCUUUUGUGGGGUGCUCGAGUGGCGAACGGGUGAGUAACACGUGAGUAACCUGCCCUUGACUUUGGGAUAACUUCAGGAAACUGGGGCUAAUACCGGAUAGGAGCUCCUGCUGCAUGGUGGGGGUUGGAAAGUUUCGGCGGUUGGGGAUGGACUCGCGGCUUAUCAGCUUGUUGGUGGGGUAGUGGCUUACCAAGGCUUUGACGGGUAGCCGGCCUGAGAGGGUGACCGGACACAUUGGGACUGAGAUACGGCCCAGACUCCUACGGGAGGCAGCAGUGGGGAAUAUUGCACAAUGGGCGGAGGCCUGAUGCAGCAACGCCGCGUGCGGGAUGACGGCCUUCGGGUUGUAAACCGCUUUCGCCUGUGACGAAGCGUGAGUGACGGUAAUGGGUAAAGAAGCACCGGCUAACUACGUG
rnacentral:rRNA from 1 species